GAUGAACGCUGGCGGCGUGCUUAACACAUGCAAGUCGAACGGAAAGGCUCCUGCUUGCAGGGGUACUCGAGUGGCGAACGGGUGAGUAACACGUGGGUGAUCUGCCCUGCACUUCGGGAUAAGCCUGGGAAACUGGGUCUAAUACCGGAUAGGACCACAUUUUGGAUGGUGUGGUGGAAAGUUUUUCGGUGUGGGAUGAGCUCGCGGCCUAUCAGCUUGUUGGUGGGGUAAUGGCCUACCAAGGCGUCGACGGGUAGCCGGCCUGAGAGGGUGUACGGCCACAUUGGGACUGAGAUACGGCCCAGACUCCUACGGGAGGCAGCAGUGGGGAAUAUUGCACAAUGGGCGCAAGCCUGAUGCAGCGACGCCGCGUGGGGGAUGACGGCCUUCGGGUUGUAAACUCCUUUCGCUAGGGACGAAGCGUGUUUGUGACGGUACCUGGAGAAGAAGCACCGGCUAACUACGUG
rnacentral:rRNA from 1 species